UGAGCUAAUCUUAUGUCAGAUGGGAGAGGACGGACAUUUGGCAUCAAACUGUCGUCUGAAUAAGAUCGAAUGAACUUCUCUGCCUAGUAAUGCUGUAAAUUCUGUAAUCAGAUUGAUGGUACGGCCAUGAGAAACCCAAGAUUGGACAGCCAAAAAUUGGAUGAUGAUAUAAGCAGUAGUAGAAAAAGGAAAAGAGAAAAGCGAAAGAGAAGAAAACACAAAAAGAAAAAACCUGAAAAAAAGAUUAUGUAAUGGAAGCACCUGGAUCUGGAUACAAUUCAGACGACACUAUUAUAGUUGAGCAGACUUGUUCAACAAGGCUGCCAAGAUACUUUGGAGAAGACACACUAUAACAGCAGUAGUAAAUAUGAUUUCAAUCAUUUACUUCAGUUGUAUUUUCAAAGCUAUUACAUAAUGUUGAUGUUUCACAUUGA